UGUCAAAAAUUUCAUCAAAUUUUAAAGUUAAAAACUAGUUCCUAUGCAUCAGCAUAAGGUGCACGUGACAUGUUAUGUCAUGUGUAAUUAUCUGGUUAUUUCGCUAGCCACCAAUUUUUAGCAGUAGAAGUGAAUGUACUUUUUAACA
rnacentral:pre_miRNA from 1 species